rnacentral:tRNA from 1 species
GCGGACAUGGCAGAGAGGAAAUGCAGCGCACCGCUAAUGCGCAGGCCGGAAACGGUCCGGAGGUUCGAAUCCUUCUGUCCGCG